UAGGAUUGCUGGAGAUGAGGUUGGUAUCUCGCACACAUGGCAGGGAAUUAACUGAUCAUGAGGACGCUGAAGUAAUGCUUGCGGCCUUGCCCGACACCCUGUGGUCCCAGAGUCCAUUUGAUGUUGGGUUUUGUCACUCGGUGGCCCCUAUUGAUCUCCAAAUGGAUGAGACGCAGCCUAUCAAACGGCCUCAAUAUCGUUGGCCAAAAGAGGCGGACCAAGGCAUGGAAGACACCCUGUGCGGCCUCUGGGACGCAGGGGUGUUGGAAGUGUCCAUCGGCCAAAUCGCCCUCCU